rnacentral:rRNA from 1 species
GGUCAAGCGAAUAAGCGCACACGGUGGAUGCCUUGGCGGUCAGAGGCGAUGAAGGACGUGGCAGCCUGCGAAAAGUAUCGGGGAGCUGGCAACAAGCUUUGAUCCGGUAAUGUCCGAAUGGGGAAACCCACCCGCUUGCGGGUAUCCUGCAGUGAAUACAUAGCUGCUGGAAGCGAACCUGGUGAACUGAAAUAUCUAAGUAACCAGAGGAAAAGAAAUCAACCGAGAUUCCGUAAGUAGCGACGAGCGAACGCGGACUAGCCCUUAAGCUGAUUUGGUUCUAGGAAAACGCUCUGGAAAGAGCGGCCAUAGAAGGUGAUAGCCCUGUAUCUGAAAGGGCCAUUCCAGUGAAGACGAGUAGGGCGGGGCACGUGAAACCCUGUCUGAACAUGGGGGGACCAUCCUCCAAGGCUAAAUACUACUGACCGACCGAUAGUGAACCAGUACCGUGAGGGAAAGGCGAAAAGAACCCCGGAGAGGGGAGUGAAAUAGAACCUGAAACCGUGUGCGUACAAGCAGUAGGAGCUCCGCAAGGAGUGACUGCGUACCUUUUGUAUAAUGGGUCAGCGACUUACUGUUCGUGGCAAGCUUAACCGUAUAGGGGAGGCGAAAGGGAAACCGAGUCUGAUAAGGGCGCAUAGUCGCGGGCAGUAGACCCGAAACCGGGUGAUCUAGUCAUGCCCAGGGUGAAGGUGCGGUAACACGCACUGGAGGCCCGAACCCACUCCCGUUGCAAAGGUAGGGGAUGAGGUGUGAUUAGGAGUGAAAAGCUAAUCGAACCCGGAGAUAGCUGGUUCUCCUCGAAAGCUAUUUAGGUAGCGCCUCAUAUGUAUCCUCUCGGGGGUAGAGCACUGUUAUGGCUAGGGGGUCAUCGCGACUUACCAAACCAUUGCAAACUCCGAAUACCGAGACGGACUGUAUGGGAGACACACGGCGGGUGCUAACGUCCGUCGUGAAAAGGGAAACAACCCAGACCCACAGCUAAGGUCCCAAAUUUUGUGCUAAGUGGAAAACCAUGUGGAAAGGCACAGACAGCCAGGAGGUUGGCUUAGAAGCAGCCACCCUUUAAAGAAAGCGUAAUAGCUCACUGGUCGAGUCGGUCUGCGGGGAAGAUUUAACGGGGCUAAGCACAGAACCGAAGCUUGGGGUGCAUAACUUUGUUAUGCGCGGUAGAGGAGCGUUCCGUAAGCCGUUGAAGGUGGAUUGAGAAGUCUGCUGGAGGUAUCGGAAGUGCGAAUGCUGACAUGAGUAACGAUAAUGCGGGUGAAAAACCCGCACGCCGAAAGCCCAAGGUUUCCUUGCGCAACGUUAAUCGGCGCAGGGUGAGUCGGCCCCUAAGGCGAGGACGAAAGUCGUAGUCGAUGGGAAGCAGGUUAAUAUUCCUGCACCUCGCGUAAGUGCGAUGGAGGGACGGAGAAGGUUAGGUGUACCAGGCGUUGGUUGUCCUGGGGAAAGGCGGUAGGUUUGGAUCUUUGGCAAAUCCGGGAUCCUUUAAGACCGAGCACCGAGACGAGCCUUUAUGGCGAAGUCACUGAUACCACGCUUCCAGGAAAAGCUCCUAAGCUUCAGCUUACGCAGACCGUACCGUAAACCGACACAGGUGGGUAGGAUGAGAAUUCUCAGGCGCUUGAGAGAACUCGGGUGAAGGAACUAGGCAACAUGGCACCGUAACUUCGGGAGAAGGUGCACCCUUUUUGGUGGCUCGUGCGAGCUAUAGCUGAAGAGGGUCGCAGUAACCAGGCCGCUGCGACUGUUUAUCAAAAACACAGCACUCUGCAAACACGAAAGUGGACGUAUAGGGUGUGACGCCUGCCCGGUGCUGGAAGGUUAAUUGAUGGGGUCAGCCGCAAGGCGAAGCUCUUGAUCGAAGCCCCAGUAAACGGCGGCCGUAACUAUAACGGUCCUAAGGUAGCGAAAUUCCUUGUCGGGUAAGUUCCGACCUGCACGAAUGGCGUAACGACAGCGGCGCUGUCUCCACCCGAGACUCAGUGAAAUUGAAAUCGCUGUGAAGAUGCAGCGUUCCCGUGGCAAGACGGAAAGACCCCGUGAACCUUUACUAUAGCUUUACACUGAACGUUGAGUUCGUCUGUGUAGGAUAGGUGGGAGGCUAUGAAACUGUGGCGCUAGCUGCAGUGGAGCCAUCCUUGAAAUACCACCCUGUCGUGCUUGACGUUCUAACCUGGGCCCAUUAUCUGGGUCGGGGACCGUGUAUGGUGGGUAGUUUGACUGGGGCGGUCUCCUCCUAAAGAGUAACGGAGGAGCUCGAAGGUACGCUCAGCGCGGUCGGACAUCGCGCACUGUGUGCAAAGGCAUAAGCGUGCUUGACUGCAAGAUCGACGGAUCAAGCAGGUAGGAAACUAGGACUUAGUGAUCCGGUGGUUCUGUAUGGAAGGGCCAUCGCUCAACGGAUAAAAGGUACUCCGGGGAUAACAGGCUGAUACCGCCCAAGAGUUCAUAUCGACGGCGGUGUUUGGCACCUCGAUGUCGGCUCAUCACAUCCUGGGGCUGUAGUCGGUCCCAAGGGUAUGGCUGUUCGCCAUUUAAAGUGGUACGCGAGCUGGGUUCAGAACGUCGUGAGACAGUUCGGUCCCUAUCUGCCAUGGGCGUUGGAGAUUUGAGAGGGGCUGCUCCUAGUACGAGAGGACCGGAGUGGACGAACCUCUGGUGUUCCGGUUGUCACGCCAGUGGCAUUGCCGGGUAGCUAUGUUCGGAAGCGAUAACCGCUGAAAGCAUCUAAGCGGGAAGCGCGCCUCAAGAUGAGAUCUCCCGGGGCACAAGCCCCCUGAAGGAACCAUGUAGACUACGUGGUUGAUAGGUCAGGUGUGUAAGUACAGCAAUGUAUUGAGCUAACUGAUACUAAUGAUCCGUGCGGCUUGACCAU